GGGGAAAUGACUGUACCUUCACCCCUCAGCAUCAUCCAUCCAGCUGGCUGCCACAAGGUAGAAGACAGCAGCUAAGUGACUAACAUCGAAAGAAGAUUACAAAGCUUGGAUAGUACAAGUACAGUGCUUCAACCCAAGAGCAGAUGCUCUGCACUCAUUGCAGAUGGAUCUCUUUGCAAAUGCACACUCAGGAUGUCUCAUCUGGAUUCUCACAUACAUGACCACCUCAUCAGAUGCUUUGUGUUUUCCAAAACUGUCUGUAUAAACACCAGGUUCAUUCAAAAUCAUUACAUCCAGUUUAAAAGUGGUAUCAAGCCAUUUUGUGACAUCAAAUAAAUAGAUUGGUCUUUUCAGCCUACUUCAAAAUCCCUGUUAUACUGAUCAUCUGAGUGCAGAAAACUAUUUGACAUUUGACUAACUCCUUCAUACAGUAAGGACUUGAUACUA